CUAGAGACGCUGGCGGCGUGCCUAAUACAUGCAAGUCGAACGAACUCUGGUAUUGAUUGGUGCUUGCAUCAUGAUUUACAUUUGAGUGAGUGGCGAACUGGUGAGUAACACGUGGGAAACCUGCCCAGAAGCGGGGGAUAACACCUGGAAACAGAUGCUAAUACCGCAUAACAACUUGGACCGCAUGGUCCGAGUUUGAAAGAUGGCUUCGGCUAUCACUUUUGGAUGGUCCCGCGGCGUAUUAGCUAGAUGGUGGGGUAACGGCUCACCAUGGCAAUGAUACGUAGCCGACCUGAGAGGGUAAUCGGCCACAUUGGGACUGAGACACGGCCCAAACUCCUACGGGAGGCAGCAGUAGGGAAUCUUCCACAAUGGACGAAAGUCUGAUGGAGCAACGCCGCGUGAGUGAAGAAGGGUUUCGGCUCGUAAAACUCUGUUGUUAAAGAAGAACAUAUCUGAGAGUAACUGUUCAGGUAUUGACCGGUAUUUAACCAGAAAGCCACGGCUAACUACGUGCCAGCAGCCGCGGUAAUACGUAGGUGGCAAGCGUUGUCCGGAUUUAUUGGGCGUAAAGCGAGCGCAGGCGGUUUUUUAAGUCUGAUGUGAAAGCCUUCGGCUCAACCGAAGAAGUGCAUCGGAAACUGGGAAACUUGAGUGCAGAAGAGGACAGUGGAACUCCAUGUGUAGCGGUGAAAUGCGUAGAUAUAUGGAAGAACACCAGUGGCGAAGGCGGCUGUCUGGUCUGUAACUGACGCUGAGGCUCGAAAGUAUGGGUAGCAAACAGGAUUAGAUACCCUGGUAGUCCAUACCGUAAACGAUGAAUGCUAAGUGUUGGAGGGUUUCCGCCCUUCAGUGCUGCAGCUAACGCAUUAAGCAUUCCGCCUGGGGAGUACGGCCGCAAGGCUGAAACUCAAAGGAAUUGACGGGGGCCCGCACAAGCGGUGGAGCAUGUGGUUUAAUUUCGAAGCUACGCGAAGAACCCUUACCAGGUCUUGACAUACUAUGCAAAUCUAAGAGAUUAGACGUUCCCUUCGGGGACAUGGAUACAGGUGGUGCAUGGUUGUCGUCAGCUCGUGUCGUGAGAUGUUGGGUUAAGUCCCGCAACGAGCGCAACCCUUAUUAUCAGUUGCCAGCAUUAAGUUGGGCACUCUGGUGAGACUGCCGGUGACAAACCGGAGGAAGGUGGGGAUGACGUCAAAUCAUCAUGCCCCUUAUGACCUGGGCUACACACGUGCUACAAUGGAUGGUACAACGAGUUGCGAACUCGCGAGAGUAAGCUAAUCUCUUAAAGCCAUUCUCAGUUCGGAUUGUAGGCUGCAACUCGCCUACAUGAAGUCGGAAUCGCUAGUAAUCGCGGAUCAGCAUGCCGCGGUGAAUACGUUCCCGGGCCUUGUACACACCGCCCGUCACACCAUGAGAGUUUGUAACACCCAAAGUCGGUGGGGUAACCUUUUAGGAACCAGCCGCCUAAGGUGGACAGAUGAUUAGGUG
rnacentral:rRNA from 2 species